UGGGGAAUCUUGCGCAAUGCACGAAAGUGUGACGCAGCAACGCCGCGUGGGGGAAGAAGGCCUUCGGGUUGUAAACCCCUUUCAGGAGGGACGAAGUGCCGGCCGUUAAUAGCGGUUCGGCAUGACGGUACCUCCACAAGAAGCCCCGGCUAACUACGUGCCAGCAGCCGCGGUAAUACGUAGGGGGCAAGCGUUGUCCGGAAUCAUUGGGCGUAAAGAGCGCGUAGGCGGUCCGGUAAGUCCGCUCUGAAAGUCCGGGGCUCAACCCCGGGAGGCGGGCGGAUACUGCCGGGCUAGAGUCCGGAAGAGGCGAGUGGAAUUCCUGGUGUAGCGGUGAAAUGCGCAGAUAUCAGGAGGAACACCAAUGGCGAAGGCAGCUCGCUGGGACGGUACUGACGCUGAGGCGCGAAAGCGUGGGGAGCAAACAG
rnacentral:rRNA from 1 species